GUCCACGCCCUAAACGAUGUCUACUAGUUGUCGGGUUUUAAUUAACUUGGUAACGCAGCUAACGCGUGAAGUAGACCGCCUGGGGGAGUACGGUCGCAAGAUUAAAAACUCAAAGGAAUUGACGGGGACCCGCACAAGCGGUGGAUGAUGUGGAUUAAUUCGAUGCAACGCGAAAAACCUUACCUACCCUUGACAUGGAUGGAAUCCCGAAGAGAUUUGGGAGUGCUCGAAAGAGAACCAUUACACAGGUGCUGCAUGGCUGUCGU
rnacentral:rRNA from 1 species